rnacentral:rRNA from 1 species
UACGUAGGGGGCAAGCGUUGUCCGGAUUCAUUGGGCGUAAAGAGCGUGUAGGCGGCCAGGUAGGUCGGUUGUGAAAACUGGAGGCUCAACCUUCAGAGGUCGACCGAAACCAUCUGGCUAGAGUCCGGGAGAGGAGAGUGGAAUUCCUGGUGUAGCGGUGAAAUGCGCAGAUAUCAGGAAGAACACCCGUGGCUAAGGCGGCUCUCUAGUACGGUACUGACGCUGAGACGUGAAAGCGUGGGAGCAAAACAGG